rnacentral:rRNA from 1 species
UACGGAGGGUGCAAGCGUUAUCCGGAUUCACUGGGUUUAAAGGGUGCGUAGGUGGGUUGGUAAGUCAGUGGUGAAAUCUCCGAGCUUAACUUGGAAACUGCCAUUGAUACUAUCAGUCUUGAAUAUUGUGGAGGUCAGCGGAAUAUGUCAUGUAGCGGUGAAAUGCUUAGAUAUGACAUAGAACACCAAUGGCGAAGGCAGCUGGCUACACAUAUAUUGACACUGAGGCACGAAAGCGUGGGGAGCAAACAGG